rnacentral:rRNA from 1 species
AACGAACGCUGGCGGCAUGCCUAACACAUGCAAGUCGAACGAUGGUCUUCUGAUCAUAGUGGCGCACGGGUGCGUAACGCGUGGGAAUCUGCCCUUGGGUUCGGAAUAACAGUUGGAAACGACUGCUAAUACCGGAUGAUGUCGAUAAGACCAAAGGUAUAUCGCCCUAGGAUGAGCCCGCGUCGGAUUAGCUAGUUGGUGGGGUAAAGGCCUACCAAGGCGACGAUCCGUAGCUGGUCUGAGAGGAUGGUCAGCCACACUGGGACUGAGACACGGCCCAGACUACUACGGGAGGCAGCAGUGGGGAAUAUUGGAAUAUGGGCGCAAGCAUGAUCCAGCAAUGCCGCAUGAGUGAUGAAGGCCUUAGGGUUGUAAAGCUCUUUUACCCGGGAAGAUAAUGACUGUACCGGGAGAAUAAGCACCGGCUAACUUCGUG